rnacentral:rRNA from 1 species
UCGAUCGGCGGGCCUGCGGGUGAGGUAAUAGGUAGGGUGCAAGCUGUAUUGUGAAUGACUGGGCGUAAAGCGUGCGCAGGCGGUUUUGUAAGCCAGAGGUGAAAUCCCCGAGCUUAACUUGGGAACUGCGUUUGGAACUACAAGACUAGAGUGUGUCAGAGGGGGGUAGAAUUCCACGUGUAGCAGUGAAAUGCGUAGAGAUGUGGAGGAAUACCGAUGGCGAAGGCAGCCCCCUGGGAUAACACUGACGCUCAUGCACGAAAGCGUGGGGAGCAAACAGGAUUAGAUACCCGAGUAGUC